GACGAACGCUGGCGGCGUGCUUAACACAUGCAAGUCGAGCGGUAAGGCCCUUUCGGGGUACGACGAGCGGCGAACGGGUGAGUAACACGUGGGUGACCUGCCCUCAGCUCUGGGAUAAGCCUGGGAAACUGGGUCUAAUACCGGAUAUGACUCCAUGACGCAUGUUGUGGGGUGGAAAGCCUUGUGCGGCUGAGGAUGGGCCCGCGGCCUAUCAGCUUGUUGGUGGGGUGAUGGCCUACCAAGGCGACGACGGGUAGCCGGCCUGAGAGGGCGACCGGCCACACUGGGACUGAGACACGGCCCAGACUCCUACGGGAGGCAGCAGUGGGGAAUCUUGCGCAAUGGGCGAAAGCCUGACGCAGCGACGCCGCGUGAGGGAUGACGGCCU
rnacentral:rRNA from 1 species